GAAGCUCUCAACCCUAUCAUGGCCAUCGUUCAUUUCCAGACAUUCCCAUUCUUUCUUAACGUAGAGGGCUGCACCACUGCCUUUCCUGCCUUGCCUCUCUCUUUUGAAAAGUCGCUAGCCAUCCAUCACAGCACUCCAGCUGUGUGAGUCAUUCCACCACGUUUCUGUGAUUUUUCUCCUGUUUUUGGAUUCCAAGAAAAGCCAGGUAGGAUUAUUUUUAUUGUUAUUCUUUUUUUAAUGGCAGGCAUUGUGUUCAACUUAAAAAAGGAACGCAUGAAGAAUAGCUUUGUUUGCAUUCUGGUAAGUGCUGAGGCUUUGGCUGAUGACAGCUUUCAGCUGCAGCUGAACUAGGCUGGAUUUGUCUCCUGCUCUCCAUAGGUGAGUGUUUCUCUUCCAGAUCUUUGAAUCAGCUUUCUACACGGCUUAAGUGAUGGAACAGGAAAGACUCCAAUAUGGUAACAACGUGAUUUCUAGUGUUUUGGGUGAGGUUUGCCUGCUGAACAGCAAGACAAAAGAAGCUUAAAUUACAGAAGCAGAGAAGCAGAGACAGUCUAGAGGCUCAAUACAGAAAGAUUGUUUCACGUGUAAUGAAAAGCUAGUGUCCAGAUGAUCACUGCGGCCAGAUGGCAAUUUUGAUGCCCUCGUCACUAAGACUUGUCCAAGCCCUGAUGUAUGUGAAGCUCAUCAGGAGGGAAUGCUCGCAAGAAUCAGCUAACACAAUAGCAGCAAGCUUUCAGUGACAGCGUUCAGGAAGGGUGACGAUUCAGGCUGGGAGCAGGUAUGUCAUCACCUGACUUGACCACAUGUAACUUGAUGCUAGAAGUACACCACGUCCUCCCUCCCUGCAUGGCAAGAGAUUGCUCUCUUCUCCUGCAAAGGCAGCCAAAGUAACUUCUGUGUGCUGACUAGAGAGAGAAAACUUGGUGUCACUCCUCGCAAGUCCUGUGGCAGCCAGAUACUGUGUUAGCCACUCACAGGUAGCAUGUCUUUGGUAUCAGGGUGUAAGAGAAUGAACUCUGUAGGAGCGCUGCUGUCAUAGGCCACCAAGGGCCCGGGAUGCCUGGCUGAAAUUUGAUGUUGCAGAUACCUUGGUGUCACUGGAAUCCAUGGAGUUGACACAGUCCUCUGAUGGCUGGAUUUCGGCUUUCUAAGGGUAUUCCUUUCUGUUUCUCAUCUUUUCGGGUGAUAUUGCUUUGCUUUCCUUGGCUUUUUAGUAAUUCCUAUUUUGGUUAUUGUUUCUGGAAUGG